rnacentral:rRNA from 1 species
CAGGUGGUCAGGUAGAGAAUACCAAGGCGCUUGAGAGAACUCGGGUGAAGGAACUAGGCAAAAUGGUGCCGUAACUUCGGGAGAAGGCACGCUGGUGUGUAGGUGAAGUCCCUGCGGAUGGAGCUGAGACCAGUCGAAGAUACCAGCUGGCUGCAACUGUUUAUUAAAAACACAGCACUGUGCAAACACGAAAGUGGACGUAUACGGUGUGACGCCUGCCCGGUGCCGGAAGGUUAAUUGAUGGGGUUAUCCGUAAGGAGAAGCUCUUGAUCGAAGCCCCGGUAAACGGCGGCCGUAACUAUAACGGUCCUAAGGUAGCGAAAUUCCUUGUCGGGUAAGUUCCGACCUGCACGAAUGGCGUAAUGAUGGCCAGGCUGUCUCCACCCGAGACUCAGUGAAAUUGAACUCGCUGUGAAGAUGCAGUGUACCCGCGGCAAGACGGAAAGACCCCGUGAACCUUUACUAUAGCUUGACACUGAACAUUGAGCCUUGAUGUGUAGGAUAGGUGGGAGGCUUUGAAGCGUGGACGCCAGUCUGCGUGGAGCCAACCUUGAAAUACCACCCUUUAAUGUUUGAUGUUCUAACGUUGGCCCCUGACCGGGGUUGCGGACAGUGUCUGGUGGGUAGUUUGACUGGGGCGGUCUCCUCCCAAAGCGUAACGGAGGAGCACGAAGGUUAGCUAAUCCUGGUCGGACAUCAGGAGGUUAGUGCAAUGGCAUAAGCUAGCUUGACUGCGAGCGUGACGGCGCGAGCAGGUGCGAAAGCAGGUCAUAGUGAUCCGGUGGUUCUGAAUGGAAGGGCCAUCGCUCAACGGAUAAAAGGUACUCCGGGGAUAACAGGCUGAUACCGCCCAAGAGUUCAUAUCGACGGCGGUGUUUGGCACCUCGAUGUCGGCUCAUCACAUCCUGGGGCUGAAGUAGGUCCCAAGGGUAUGGCUGUUCGCCAUUUAAAGUGGUACGCGAGCUGGGUUUAGAACGUCGUGAGACAGUUCGGUCCCUAUCUGCCGUGGGCGCUGGAGAAUUGAGGGGGGCUGCUCCUAGUACGAGAGGACUGGAGUGGACGCAUCACUGGUGUUCGGGUUGUCAUGCCAAUGGCACUGCCCGGUAGCUAAAUGCGGAAGAGAUAAGUGCUGAAAGCAUCUAAGCACGAAACUUGCCCCGAGAUGAGUUCUCCCUGAGACUUUAAGUCUCCUGAAGGAACGUUAAAGACGAUGACGUUGAUAGGCCGGGUGUGUAAGCGCAGCGAUGCGUUGAGCUAACCGGUACUAAUGAACCGUGAGGCUUAACCUU